GAGUUUGAUCAUGGCUCAGGAUGAACGCUGGCGGCGUGCCUAACACAUGCAAGUCGAACGGAGUUUAGUGAGGAAGAAGCUUCGGCGGAAUUCUUAUAAACUUAGUGGCGGACGGGUGAGUAACACGUGGAGAACCUGGCCUCUUACCGGGGGACAGCAGUUGGAAACGACUGAUAAUACCGCAUAAGCGCACGAGACCGCAUGGUCCUGUGUGAAAAGAUUUAUCGGUAAGAG
rnacentral:rRNA from 1 species